rnacentral:piRNA from 1 species
UCGUUAGGGCCACGAGGUAGGAGCUGC